GAUGAACGCUAGCGGCAGGCCUAACACAUGCAAGUCGAACGGUAACAGUUCUGAGCAAUCGGAAGCUGACGAGUGGCGCACGGGUGAGUAACGCGUAUGCAACCUACCUUUAACAGGGGGAUAGCUCCGGGAAACCGGGAUUAAUACCCCAUAUUAUUAUGAUAUCACCUGAUAUUAUAAUGAAAGCUCCGGUGGUUAAAGAUGGGCAUGCGUGUCAUUAGCUAGUUGGUGAGGUAACGGCUCACCAAGGCGACGAUGACUAGGGGGUCUGAGAGGAUGAUCCCCCACACCGGUACUGAGACACGGACCAGACUCCUACGGGAGGCAGCAGUGAGGAAUAUUGGGCAAUAGGCGCAAGCCUGACCCAGCCAUGCCGCGUGCAGGAUGACGGCCCUACGGGUUAUAAACUGCUUUUAUACGGGAAUAAACCCCGGUACGUGUACCGGGCUGAAGGUACCGUAAGAAUAAGGAUCGGCUAACUCCGUGCCAGCAGCCGCGGUAAUACGGAGGAUCCAAGCGUUAUCCGGAUUCAUUGGGUUUAAAGGGUGCGUAGGCGGGGAGAUAAGUCAGUGGUGAAAUCCUGCAGCUUAACUGUAGAACUGCCAUUGAUACUGU
rnacentral:rRNA from 1 species